AAAAAGGGCUUCUGUCGUGAGUGGCACACGUGGGACAACUCAUUUGCUCUUCAUGUGGAAUCGACAUCAAGAGAUUUCGGAAGCAUAAUUUUUGGGUACUUGGGCAGCUGGUGAUCGUUGGUUAAAAAAAAAAAAAACCAAUGUUGAUUCUACCAAUCCCUA
ensembl:snRNA